rnacentral:misc_RNA from 1 species
CAACUAAUGGAAAACCAACAACAUUAACACGUAGAAUGAAUCCACUAAAAAUAACAAGUCUGCAUAAAAGCCCAAACAUUUAAAAUACUGCUGCCCUCACAUUUGAGGCCUUAAGGACUACGACUUGUAAUGCAAAUAAAAUCGAAGAUAACAUCAAUACUACUAACAUUGCUGUCAUCAGGCAAGGCAUAGCCUGAAAGCAUUUAUUUUAUUUAAAUAUAGAUGCAAAACAUAAAGAAAUAGAAUAUUGAAACUAAUCCUCUUCUUCCUCUUCUCCCUCUUUCCAACAGCAUUUUAGAGUAGACCUAGGAGAACCACAGUCUCCAGUCCUAACAAAUGUCCGGUAGACGAUGGAACCCCCCAUUCCAAGCUCUUCAAGGCUCCUUUCUUCACGACAGUAUCCCUUAACGUCGA